rnacentral:rRNA from 1 species
UACAGAGGGUGCAAGCGUUAAUCGGAAUUACUGGGCGUAAAGCGUGCGCAGGCGGUUUUGUAAGUCUGUCGUGAAAGCCCCGGGCUUAACCUGGGAAUUGCGAUGGAGACGUGCAAGGCUUGAAUCUGGCGAGGGGGUAGAAUUCCGACGUGUAGCAGUGAAAUGCGUAGAGAUGUGGAGGAACACCGAUGACGAAGGCGCCCCUGGGUCGAAGAUUGACGCUCAUGCACGAAGCGUGGGGAGCAAACAGG